rnacentral:rRNA from 1 species
UGGGGAAUAUUGGACAAUGGGCGAAAGCCUGAUCCAGCCAUGCCGCGUGUGUGAAGAAGGCCUUUUGGUUGUAAAGCACUUUAAGCGAGGAGGAGGCUACUUAGAUUAAUACUCUAGGAUAGUGGACGUUACUCGCAGAAUAAGCUCCGGCUAACUCUGUGCCAGCAGCCGCGGUAAUACAGAGGGUGCGAGCGUUAAUCGUAUUUACUGGGCGUAAAGCGUGCGUAGGCGGCUUUUUAAGUCGGAUGUGAAAUCCCUGAGCUUAACUUAGGAAUUGGAUUCGAUGCUAGGGAGCUAGAGUAUGGGAGAGGAUGGUAGAAUUACAGGUGUAGCGGUGAAGUGCGUAGAGAUCUGGAGGAAUACCGAUGGCGAAGGCAGCCAUCUGGCCUAAUACUGACGCUGAGGUACGAAAGCAUGGGGAGCAAACAGG